rnacentral:rRNA from 1 species
CAAGCGUUAUCCGGAAUUAUUGGGCGUAAAUCGCUCGUAGGCGGUUUUUAAAGUCUGAUGUGAAAGCCCACGGCUCAACCGUGGAGUGUCAUUGGAAACUGGAAAACUUGAGUGCAGAAGAGGAAAGUGGAAUUCCAUGUGUAGCGGUGAAAUGCGCAGAGAUAUGGAGGAACAACAGUGGCGAAGGCGACUUUCUGGUCUGUAACUGACGCUGAUGUGCGAAAGCGUGGGGAUCAAACAGUAUUAGAUACCCUGGUAGUCCACGCCGUAA